AUCUGUGUCCUGGAACUCUGUCCAUUUGUUUCAUUCCAGCUGCUGCUAUAGCAACCUCUGUGUAGAGCCUGAUCGAGGUCAUGUGGGCACUACCAGAUAGCCCUUCACCUCAUGCCCCAAAUUCCUAUCUCUCACUUCCCACCUCUAGUUUCCUCGUUGACAAGGAGUCAUACGAUCAUUGGUGUAUCCAUCUAUACAGGAAGGAUGUGGGAGGUUUCUGUUAAAGCCUGAAGUAACUGUGGAUGUACAACUGGAUGAGAGAAUCCCCUUCAGAUCUACAUCUUCAUAGGCAGAUUUGAAAAUCUUAAUUCAGGUGUCAGAAUGACUUGACAAAUGGUGGGCUGUAUUAUACCAAUAAACAUAAAAAAGCUUCUAA